rfam:Canis lupus familiaris chromosome 34, whole genome shotgun sequence.
GCCUGGGAGGCUCAGUGGUUGAGCACCUGCCUUUGGCUCAGGGUGUGAUCCCGGGGUCCUGGGAUCGAGUCCCACUUCGGGCU